UCUGCCCUAUAGCAUGCAUCUGUCUAUUGGAGCUGGUUAGUAUGUCUAGGUAAUCGAGUCAAACUUGGCUUUUUUUAAAUGUAGCACGUAGUAAAACUGCAUAAACCUAAUGUCAAGUUAAAGUGUAUUGUUAGCUAGCUAACGUUAGCUGGCUGGCUCGCUAGUUGCUAACGUUAUGUGUAUGCGCUCCACUUUCUGGAGGACCGAGUUUUGAAAUCAGUGGAAUUCGAGUAUGAUAGCUAAGGAGAUGGAGAAAACACCAGUCUGGAUUACAUCAUCAAACUAAGGGCAACCAUGCAUGGCAUCAGACAGGAGACGCGUCCAACCAUGAUGUAUACUGGGCCGGGGGGUGAGACAGGGAUGCAGCUUAAGCCCCAGCAUCUUCAACGUAUAUAUCAACGAAUUGGCGAGGGCACUAGAACAGUCUACAGCACCCGGCCUCACCCUACUAGAAUCUGAAGUCAAAUGUCUACUAAUGGCGGUGGAGGGGAUUGCUACCGUUUUCACAGGCUCCUAACCAACUGUGCUAUUUUGUUUGUUUUUUCGCUUUGUUUGUAACUCAUUUUGUACAUAAUGUUGCUGAUACCAUCUCUUAUGACCGAAAAGAGCUUCUGGGCAUCAGAACAGCGAUAACUCACCUUGAACAGGGUGCCUUGUAAGAGUUUGCACUCCCUGUAGGCUGACUCAUCAUUAUUGGUAAUCAGGCCUACUACUGUUGUGUCGUCUGCAACCUUGAUGAAUGAGUUGGAGGCGUGCGUGGCCACGCAGUCAUGGGUGAACAGGGAGUACAGGAGGGGGCUGAAAACACACCCUUGUGGGGCCCCUGUGUUGGGGAUCAGCGAAGUGGAGGUGUUGUUUCCUACCUUCACCACCUGGGGGCGGCCCAUCAGGAAGUCCAGGACCCAGUUGAACAGGGUAGGGUUCAGACCCAGGACCUCAAGCUUAAUGAUGAGCUUGGAGGGUACUAUGGUGUUGAAUGCUGAGCUAUACCCAAUGAACAGCAUUCUUACAUAGGUAUUCCUCUUGUCCAGAUGGAAUAGGGCAUUUUGCAGUGUGAUGGCGAUUGCAUUGUCUGUGGAUCUACUGGGGCGAUGAGCAAGUUGAAGUGGGUCUAGGGUGUCAGGUAAGGUAGAGGUGAUAUGAUCCUUGACAAGUCUCUCAAAGUACUUCAUGACUUACUACAGACAACAAAGGGAAACCCAGCCGUGAGCUGCCCAGUGAUGUGAGCCUACCAGACGAGCUAAAUGCCUUGUUUACUCACUUCGAAGCAAGCAACACUGAAGCAUGCAUGAGAGCACCAGCUUUUCCGGACGACAGUGUGAUCACGCUCUCCAUAGCCGAUCAACUCUACUCCCACUUGUCUCCAAUUCCACAUCCUAACCCUCAGCUUCCCUCAGCCCCUCCCACCUAUCUCUGCUAGCCACCCUCUUCGGAUUUCUACGCAACAUAUAUCUUUCAACUAUGCUGUGAUGUUUAACGUACAAUUUCAAUCUUUCUAAUUGAAUAGAAUCCACAGAUUGCAAGUUGAAGAUUAAUACCUUUACUAAGGGUAUUAGUAUAUUAGUAAUUGACUGACCCGGUCUCUCCAGACCUCCUAACAGUACUAUUUCUAGGGUCAAUUUUAGAUCAAUGCUAUGCAUUUUUCGCCAUUCCUGAACCUGAGACAAGAAACAGGCUACCAAAAUAAAUGGUCUAUUGAUUCUGUAUCCUCACAACAAAAUCUACAGAGCUUCAAUGAUUUUAUGCCCC
rnacentral:lncRNA from 1 species